AUUGAACGCUGGCGGUAUGCUUAACACAUGCAAGUCGAACGAUGAAGAGUGCUUGCACUUGGAUUAGUGGCGUACGGGUGAGUAACGCGUAGGAAUCUACCGAUUAGUGGGGGACAACGUGUGAAAACGCACGCUCAUACCGCAUACGCCCCGAGGGGGAAAGCGGGGGAUCUUCGGACCUCGCGCUAAUCGAUGAGCCUGCGUUAGAGUAGCUAGCUGGUGGGGUAAAGGCCUACCAUGGCGACGAUCUAUAGCUGUUCUGAGAGGAAGAUCAGCCAACCUGGGACUGAGACACGGCCCAGACUCCUACGGGAGGCAGCAGUGGGGAAUAUUGGAAAAUGGGCGCAAGCCUGAUCCAGCAAUACCGCGUGUGUGAAGAAGGCCUUAGGGUUGUAAAGCACUUUUAAUCGGGAGGAAUACCUAUUGGUUAAUACCCAAUAGACUGACGUUACCGAUAGAAAAAGCACCGGCUAACUCCGUGCCAGCCGCCGCAGUAACAC
rnacentral:rRNA from 1 species